GGAACUAAUUUAGUCUCAGAAGACUUGGAUAUCGAGACAUUUAGAAGCAGGACAAUGCCUAUUAAAUCCAUGAAUGAUAGGACAGAUCUCAAAAUUACAGAGCAUAGAUCAUCAGUAGAAAAUUGUCAAUAUCAGAACUUAAACAUACUCAAUAAUAGACAGAGAUCUGUGUGUGCAUUUGCUAUAGAUUGUCGUAUAACUCCAAAUGGCAAGCAUAAAAAAGGAGGUAUGUUACUCGUCAUCUUUGUAAGGGUACUCCUCAGGAACUUGCCUCAGAAGCUUCAGUUGCAACUCAAAUGCGUCAUCCCCUCUGAGCAUAUCACGAAGCCACGUGACCUCUGUUUUCAUUGACACCAUUUCUAAUGCUCCCCUGACUACUCCACUUAAGAUGUUACAAUA
rnacentral:misc_RNA from 1 species